rnacentral:snRNA from 1 species
ACAUGUUUAAUUCUGUUCUGA